rnacentral:rRNA from 1 species
UGAACGCUGGCGGCGUGCCUACUACAUGCACGUCGAGCGAACAGACGAGGAGCUUGCUCCUCUGACGUUAGCGGCGGACGGGUGAGUAACACGUGGAUAACCUACCUAUAAGACUGGGAUAACUUCGGGAAACCGGAGCUAAUACCGGAUAAUAUAUUGAACCGCAUGGUUCAAUAGUGAAAGACGGUUUUGCUGUCACUUAUAGAUGGAUCCGCGCCGCAUUAGCUAGUUGGUAAGGUAACGGCUUACCAAGGUAACGAUGCGUAGCCGACCUGAGAGGGUGAUCGGCCACACUGGAACUGAGACACGGUCCAGACUCCUACGGGAGGCAGCAGUAGGGAAUCUUCCGCAAUGGGCGAAAGCCUGACGGAGCAACGCCGCGUGAGUGAUGAAGGUCUUCGGAUCGUAAAACUCUGUUAUUAGGGAAGAACAAAUGUGUAAGUAACUAUGCACGUCUUGACGGUACCUAAUCAGAAAGCCACGGCUAACUACGUG